GCAAAGGCAAGCAGACACCAGGGACUUCCUUGAAUUUUUGUGCUGAAAUAGCGUCCUUAGAGGAAAAUAUCAAAGUCCCCUGAGCUAUAAUCAAGGCAGUUGCAGAUUACAAGUAAUUACCCCAGUUUCGAGACAUCUCAGAUUGAAAAAUAACUUGUCCAAAGUUCUUUUCCAGGCCAACAGAACAGGGCAGACGGCUGAGAUGAGAUGAGCAAAACCUUGGGAUCCAGAGCUCAUGUUUGAACUCCACACCACAGCAGGAAGUCCCCUCCUUACCCUGCCACCUUCCUCCACCCUUGGCACACAUGAUAAAGCCUUGGCUUGGCAUUCAGAGUUCCACUUUCAGAAGUGGCCUCGGCCUACCUAUCCAGCUUUGCCUCUCAGGCAGCCACUCAUCAUGUGUGAACAUCCUGGCAUCUGCAGACGCCAGUGCCUUUGCUCAUGCUGGUUGCUCUGCCAGAAGUUCCCUUCUUCAGUCCUGCUUUUCAAAUUUCUGCCCAAUCCUCAAGAGCCAUCUCCAGUAUCCUGACCAGAGAAGUCUGUACCUGUGGCCUCCUCCAUCUACAGUUGUGGUGAACUCUUUGCCAAGCUGGACUUUGUAGGAUUCUGUCUGCUUGGGACGACCAUUAUGCCUCUUUUCCUGGUGUAAUUAUUAAUACUGACUCCUUCCACCUCGA